AAAUCAUGUUGAGGGUAACCUUUAAGCAAGCCUUUGUAUCUUCCGCAAGCUUCAUAUAAGGACUCUCCCACCUCUUGUUGAAAGUUAGCAAUAUUCUUUUUGAGAUU